UUGCAGCCUCUUUAUCGCUUCCUGCAACAGAGCCCUGUAGAGAAAGCGCUAUUGCCUUGUCUAAGUCAUCAUCAUCCUCACCAAGGGAAACUGAUGUAUUCAAAAUCUUCCUAGAUGAGACUUUUCUCUUGGAUGCAGAGGACUUGUUCUUUCUUUUACACAGAAACUCCUCGUCUUCGUCUAUUUCUUCUACUUCGUCAUCGUCCUCAUCACCAUCACCGUCGGCGAUUACGGGUGUAUAAUCAUCGUCUUCUUCACCGGAAUUCCGCUUAACUCUACGUUUUUUCGAAACUGGAGA